rnacentral:rRNA from 1 species
GACGAACGCUGGCGGCGUGCCUAAUACAUGCAAGUCGAACGCAGUGGGGACGGGUGAGUAACACGUGGGUAACCUCCCAUCAGAGGGGAUAACACUUGGAAACAGGUGCUAAACCGAUACUGAUGGAUGGACCCGCGGUGCAUUAGCUAGUUGGUGAGGUAACGGCUCACCAAGGCCACGAUGCAUAGGGGACCUGAGAGGGUGAGCGGCACCACUGGAACUGAGACACGGCCCAGACUCCAACGGGAGGCAGCAGUAGGGAAUCGACGGCAAUGGACGAAAGGCUGACCGAGAAAAGCCGCGUGAGGGAAGAAGGUUUUCGGAUCGUAAAACUCUGUUGUUAGAGAAGCGGUAUCUAACGAGAAAGCCACGGCUAACUACGUGCCAGCAGCCGCGGUAAUUC